GUUCUGUGGUGCAUUGUGAUGUGGCCCUGUUCUACAGGAGGCUGUGGCAGCACGAUUCACCAUGGCCGUGGCGCAUGGCAUUUUACAACUGUUGAGUCGUAGCUCCAACAUUCCCUUUAAAGACAUACUUCUAGUGACCUGAUAUCCUUCCACCAGUUUGCCCCCAAUACACACACUAACUUCUCACCUCCUCUUCAUGGGAGUGCUGAAGACUAAGCUUCCAGCACCUGGAUUAAGGAGGACGAACUUUCCACACUCAAGCUGUCCAUUCUCAAGUUUCAUUGUAGAGAAGCUUGGAGAUAUGGCUGGCUCUUGUCUGGAAAUGUCACACCAACAGAUGCUGCAACACUUUCCUUGGCCUUCGCCUCAGAAGAGAAUAAAGGAGGGGAAAAGCUCAUCAUACUUUCAAAGCUACCCUAAAGGAAAGUUGACAGAUGAAAAGAAAAAAAGAUAUUCCAAGUGCCUAGGACCUGGAAAUAAGCCAUGUCACUCUUCUAUUAUUUUACAAAGUAGACGUCAAAUUAGAACAAAUCAGAAGCGAUGUGGAUAUUUCAUCCAAUCAAGGAAACAAGUGACAAGGAAGACAUUUAACCCUAACCAUAUAACCACCAGAUUCUGGCACAUACAAUUCCAUACAAAAGCAUACUAUGGGUCUUAACAGCACAAAUAAACUCCAACUCAGCAA